rnacentral:siRNA from 1 species
UGCAUUGUCUAUUUGGUC